rnacentral:rRNA from 1 species
UACGUAGGGUGCGAGCGUUACUCGGAAUUACUGGGCGUAAAGCGUGCGCAGGCGGUUCGUUGUGUCGGCGGUGAAAGCCCCGGGCUCAACCUGGGAAUGGCCGUUGAAACUGGCGAACUGGAGUGUGGCAGAGGGGGGUGGAAUUCCGCGUGUAGCAGUGAAAUGCGUAGAGAUGCGGAGGAACACCGAUGGCGAAGGCAGCCCCCUGGGCUAACACUGACGCUCAGGCACGAAAGCGUGGGGAGCAAACAGG